rnacentral:rRNA from 1 species
UACGAAGGGGGCUAGCGUUGCUCGGAAUUACUGGGCGUAAAGGGCGCGUAGGCGGCGACCCAAGUCAGAUGUGAAAGUCCUGGGCUUAACCUGGGGACUGCAUUUGAUACUGGGUUGCUUGAAUUCGGGAGAGGAUAGCGGAAUUCCCAGUGUAGAGGUGAAAUUCGUAGAUAUUGGGAAGAACACCGGUGGCGAAGGCGGCUAUCUGGACCGACAUUGACGCUGAGGCGCGAAAGCGUGGGGAGCAAACAGG